GGGAAUAUUGGACAAUGGGCGAAAGCCUGAUCCAGCACAUGCCGCGUGAGUGAUGAAGGCCUUAGGGUUGUAAAGCUCUUUUACCAGGGAUGAUAAUGACAGUACCUGGAGAAUAAGCUCCGGCUAACUCCGUGCCAGCAGCCGCGGUAAUACGGAGGGAGCUAGCGUUGUUCGGAAUUACUGGGCGUAAAGCGCGCGUAGGCGGCUUUUUAAGUCAGGGGUGAAAUCCCGGAGCUCAACUCCGGAACUGCCCUUGAAACUGGGAAGCUAGAAUAUUGGANAGGUAAGUGGAAUUCCGAGUGUAGAGGUGAAAUUCGUAGAUAUUCGGAAGAACACCAGUGGCGAAGGCGACUUACUGGACWAUUAUUGACGCUGAGGUGCGAAAGCGUGKGGAGCAAACAGGAUUAGAUACCCUGGUAGUCCACGCCGUAAACGAUGAUAACUAGCUGUCCGGGCUCAUAGAGCUUGGGUGGCGCAGCUAACGCAUUAAGUUAUCCGCCUGGGGAGUACGGUCGCAAG
rnacentral:rRNA from 1 species